GAUGAACGCUGGCGGCGUGCCUAAUACAUGCAAGUCGAGCGAACGGACGAGAAGCUUGCUUUUCUGAUGUUAGCGGCGGACGGGUGAGUAACACGUAGAUAACCUACCUAUAAGACUGGGAUAACUUCGGGAAACCGGAGCUAAUACCGGAUAAUAUUUUGAACCGCAUGGUUCAAAAGUGAAAGACGGUCUUGCUGUCACUUAUAGAUGGAUCCGCGCUGCAUUAGCUAGUUGGUAAGGUAACGGCUUACCAAGGCAACGAUGCAUAGCCGACCUGAGAGGGUGAUCGGCCACACUGGAACUUAGACACGGUCCAGACUCCUACGGGAGGCAGCAGUAGGGAAUCUUCCGCAAUGGGCGAAAGCCUGACGGAGCAACGCCGCGUGAGUGAUGAAGGUCUUCGGAUCGUAAAACUCUGUUAUUAGGGAAGAACAUAUGUGUAAGUAACUGUGCACAUCUUGACGGUACCUAAUCAGAAAGCCACGGCUAACUACGUG
rnacentral:rRNA from 1 species